AGCUGCAAUCUUCCUGCAUAUGAUAGGAAUCUGGAAGUCCAACAUAUAAUUUUACCUGUAACCCUUUCAACUAAAAUUCUGCAGUCAUUAGCAUUGAGUCUUUUAGAGCUUAAGGGCUUACCAAGAUAUCUAAUAGGAAGGUUUCCCACUUUAAAACCACACAAAUUUGUCAUGAGCUGUUGGAUAUCCUCAGGGACAUUGGCAGUAAACAGCAGGCUCUUAGAUAGGUUAGGGAAGAGUCCAGACAAUUCUGAAAAGGUAGUAAUAGACUUAGUUAUGGUAGAGAGGGAUUGAAUGUCACCAUGACAGUAAAACAUGAUGUCAUCAACAAACAUAAGGUGAAAGAAUUUAGUUUUCUUGCAUUUCCAGUAGUAACUGAAAAGAGGAUCAUUGGCAAUGUUCUGAUGCGUAAUAGAGGAAGGGUGACAGAGGGUCACCUUGCCUCAGGCCUCUAGUACCCUUGAAGAAACCAUGAAGCUCACCAUUAAUAGAUACUGAAAAACCAGGAGAUGUAAUUAAUACAAGCCCUAAUCCAAUUAACAAAAUUUGCUGAAAAUUUGAGAAUAUGGAGAGUGUCCAGCAAGAAAGUCCAAUUCACAAUGUCAUAAGCCUUCUGUAGAUCAACUUUCAGAGUACAUCUAGGACUGUUGGAACUAGUAUGAUACCCUUUCAUCAAUUCCUGAGCCAAGAGAACACUGUCCUCAAGUCUUCUAUCCUUGAUAAAGGCUGUUUGGCAUUUUUCCACAAAACAAGGAAGAACUGGUUUGAGUUUGUUUGCCAAAAGCUUGGAGAUGACUUUGUAAAUGGUAUUACAACAGGCAAUGGGUCUAAAGUCUCUCAUGCAAUUGGGGUUCUGCACUUUAGGAAUAAGAGCAAGAUAGGUAGCAUUUAUCUGCUUGAGUAAAUGACCAGUUGAAAAGAACUCCUUAACAACCUUAGUGGUGUCUUCACCAACGACAGACCAAGCCUUUUUAUAAAAGUAGGCAUUAUACCCAUCAGGCCCUGGAGAUUUGUUGUUCUUGAUGGAGAAAAAACACUUCAUGAUCUCUUCAUUAGGAGGAAUAACAUUGAGCUGAGCAAUGAAAGUAUCAGGAAUAGCCUUGUGAUACACAGAUUUUAGAGCAUUCAUACCUGAGUGAUUGCUUGUUUCUCCACCAAAUAUAGAUUUAAAGUAGUUGAGAGCUUCCUCCUUGAUUACUUGAGGUUCAUUAGUAGUGGUUUCAUCAUUUAAAUGGAGGCUGAGAAUCUUCUUCAUGUUGCAUCUGUUGUUAAAAGCUUUCAUAAAGAAAGUAGUGUUGCCAUCCCUUUCCUUUAACCAGUUAAUUCUGGAUUUUUGUCUAAAGAAAGAUUCCUCUGCAGCUGCCACAACAUUAUAAGCUUGAAGGAGCUCAUUUUCUCUAUUUCUUAGAUGCUCAUCAGAGGGACACGAGUCAAGAGUCUUUUGACAAUGGUGAAGGGCCUCCCUAGCUUCAAUAACUCUAGAAGAAAUCCCAUUGAACUCUUUAGUAUUCAAGACUUUGAGCUGCUGCUUUAAAAGCUUGAGCUUUUUAGUCACUUGGAACAUAGUGUGACCAUUCACAUUAGCUUCCCAUACAGCCCUGGUAGUGGAUAAGAAGUCCCUGGGAUCACCAAGGAAAUUAAAGAACCUGAAAGGGAUAUUUCUUCUAGGAUUUGGGUUACCAAACUUAACCACCAUUGGGGAGUGAUCAGAAAUUCCUUGGGGCAAGAACUCACUUUCAGAAAGGAGAAAAGUUGUAAGCCAUUUAUCAUUAGACAAGACUCUAUCAAGCUUUUUUGAGAUGUUGGCAACUCCUCGGCUUUUAUUAGUCCAUGUAAAAAGAGUUCCACAGUACCUCAGAUCACUAAGCUCAAAGGUGUAAAUGCAAGUGUUAAACUCAUCAAUGGCAGGAGUCUAUCUUUGAGAACCUCCAAAGCAUUCUGAAGGGUGCCUAAUGACAUUAAAGUCCCCAAGUAGGAUCCAAGGGGUCUGCACACUAGCUGCAGCAAAUUGACAGAUGUCAUUCCACAAACUUCUUCUAUAAUCUGCACUAUUAAAUGCAUAAAUAAUAGAGAGAUUAAAGUUAGUAAGGUCAUUGUCUAUGGUGAUAGAGCAAUGGAUAGCUUGGGCACUAUCACUAAGCUUCUGGACCUUAAUGAAUCUUUGGUAAAAAAUAAUCCAUAUUCUUCCAAGAGUGGCAUGGUUGUAGUUGUGCAAUAGCUGCCAUGAAGGGGCAAUAUUCCUUAAAACUGAGCUGACAUUGACUUCUUGAACCUUGUUCUCCAUAAUUCCCACUAGCUGGAGCUUAUGUUCAUAAAUAAGCUUCCUUAUUUCUCUUUGUUUUUCAGGGGAAUUAAGACCCCUGAUAUUCCAAGCUGCUGUAUUGAUCAUUGAGUGGAUUGGAUAAUAAGACCUGGAAAGCCCAGAAUGGGCAUCUCUUGGGUAAUGUCACCCUUCUUCUUCUUCUUCCCUGUAUCAUCCUCAAUACAUCUUUCAUCACUUUUACUUGUUUUACUACCAUGACUUGCAGAGGACAUGGCAGUAUCAGAAGAGGUGUGAGAAGUUUCAGCAUUGCCAGUGCUGGAACUAACAUCAUCACUCUGCAUAUCACCUAUUUGGUCAUGGUGGUGGCAACCUUCAGCAAUUGUGUGGACAAUAGGAAUAGGGCAGCCUAUUGUGGAAGGUUCAAUUUCAAUUUGUUGGUCAUGGUUAUGGCUAGCAGGAGAAUUUUCAGUGCGGGAGUAGAGCAACUUGUUAUGGAAGGAUCAACUUCAGAGCUUAAUGAGGCAAAUUGGUUUUUUGUUAACAAGGGUGGUUCGUGCCUAACAUUAUUAUUGAGGGGAGGAGCCUGCUCUGAGCAAGUUUCAGUGGUAGUAUUGAGAUCAUUGGGAGCAUGAUGUUCAGUCAAAUACAUCUUUCAUCACUUUUACCUGUUUUACUACCAUGACUUGCAGAGGACAUGGUAGUAUCAGAAGAGGUGUGAGAAGUUUCAGUAUUGAUAGUGCUGGAACUAACAUCAUCACUCUGCAUAUCACCUAUUUAGUCAUGGUGGUGGCAACCUUCAGCAAUUGUGUGGACAAUAGGAAUAGGGCAGCCUAUUGUGGAAGGUUCAAUUUCAGUUUGUUGGUCAUGGUUAUGGCUAGCAGGAGAAUUUUCAGUGCGGGAGUAGAGCAGCCUGUUGUGGAAGGAUCAGCUUCAGAGCUUAAUGAGGCAAAUUGGUUUUUUGUUAACAAGGGUGGUUCGUGCCUAACAUUAUUAUUGAGGGGAGGAGCCUACUCUGAGCAAGUUUUAGUGGUAGUAUUGAGAUCAUUGGGAGCAUGAUGUUCAGUCAGUGUGGUUGGACCCUCCUUAUUGUUCUUCUUGACCACCCUCCAUUCAGAGCUAGAGGUGACAUUGUUGCCCUCAGGAAGUUUAGGGCCUGUGGUGCCAAGGAGAGGUUUACAUUUCGAGGUUGUAUGCCCAAAACACUUACAUACCUCACAAACUUGAGGCAUCCAUUGGUAUUCUGCAUCAAUGGUGAUGAGUUUACCACUCUCCAACCUUUUUUCAAAAUUAUCCACAAGAGGUUUGGCAGCAUCCACUUCAAUACAGACCCUUGCAUAACUAAUCCUAGUUAAAGGUGCAGUUUGUUCAUCUGCAAAUAAUGGUUUCCCUACUGCACUAGUGAUACGACUUAAGGCCCUUUGCAGUCCAAUACUCAUAAGGAAUAUUGAAAAACUUAACCUAUAAAGGUAUGAUACUACAUGCCUCCUUUUUAAACUCCAUACCCUUUUCCCAUAUAUUCUUGAAGUGAAGUGAAGUAUUUGGUAAUGUAUUUUAGCUGUUUGUGCUUUUAUUUACAUCAGUCUUGUAAUCGUGAUUAGGAUGCCAAGUUCAAGUGUCGAACUCCUCUUUUAUACGUUUUUUGGACAUCCUGGUACCUUUCUUUUUGAAUUCUUUCAGGGACCAAUACCAAUUAUUCAUACUUUUUUCUUUAAAAGACCAAUAAGUAUUAUUAAAUUUCAAUAAAACCAUUAAUUCCUAUUUUUAUUUUUUAUUUUUGGAUAUAAGUUUUAAAAAGCUCUCAAUCUUCCGUAUUUAUACCUUCUUAGAUUAGAACUAAAAUUUUGAAAUUAUAACUUAUGUGCAUAAAUUGAUUUUCUUUUGUAAACUGUUCUCUUUUAGCCAUUGAAACAUGUUUAAUAUUUUCUUUAUAAUUGAAUUUUUUAUCAAUUUAUUCCAGGUUUUAUGGUUUAUUCUUUCUCCUGAUCUAUCUAUUUCUUAGCUGGAUUGUUGUAGUUCUUGUUUCUAUUUCCUUGUUGUGCCUCUUGAUUCGGGAUUGUAUCUGCUAGUGUUAUGCUGCUGCUCGUCAAUUUUUAUGUGGUUUUGGGCCUCAAGUGGACUUUAUAUGGGUUGGUGGUUUUUUUCUUCUUUUAGGUGGUGUUAUCUACUUUUGUAUUUUGUAUAUUGCAAUUUCUGGAUGUUCUUUGACUGGUUCGUGAAUAUGGGUGUUUAGUUGAUCAACAAGUCAUUAACUAGUUAGAAGACCAAUUUAAUUUGGAAGUAAUAUGGUAAGCAACUUGUCAAGGCUAGGCAUAUCAAACCAGCCCCAUUCCAACUAUGAUUUGUUGAUCAACUUAUUGGAUGCUCCUUUUCUUCUUUGAAGAUUAUAUAUAUAUAUAUAUAUAUAUAUAAUAUUUCUUAUUAAUUAGGAAGAAAAUGAAACAUUAGGAAGAAAAUGAAACAUUCUUGUGGAGAGGAUUACUACAGUAAAUAUACUAAUCAGUUUGUGAUUAAUUUUAGUUUUCUAUUUCGAGUUUGGACCACUUCUAGUUCAACUUUAUAACAAGUUUUAGUUCUGAGACUAAAAUCUCAAAUUGGUUUUGGACAAAGCACAACCCAAUCCUUAAAAUCUCUAUGGAGCCUAACAAUGGCAAAUCAAAAUCUGAGCAGUGCUCAUUCUGAGUUGUGUUCCUGUCCAGUUUGGGCUAUAGUAAUGCAGAAGUUCUUGAAGCACGCUGUGUGGCUGCAAAACAAGCAUUUCAGGCUCUAUCAAGUGGGAUUACAGAAGAAAUCUGGAGCACACUAUAUUUUUGUGUUGUAAAGAAAGCAUUGUGUGAGAAAUGAAGGUUGUUUUGCAACAGAUCUAAGAGUGAAGAUAAGAUUUUGAAAGAUGAAGCUACAAGGGAGCAGUAUAAUUAUGCAAUUGUGCAUCCAGAGGAGGUUUCACAUUGAUUGCAAUCUGGCUCCCCUUUUGGAUUCAGAUGUUAGAUUUUUUUUGAAAUUUUGAUAUGUGAAUGUGAUUAAUUGUGUAAUAUUGGAUUUGGAUAUUAGCAUUUUGAUAUGUGCUUGAAUUAUCAUUUUAGAUUUUGGAUGAUUUGCACAUUUUAAUAUCUAAAUUCUUAAUGGAAUGUGUUUUAUAUUCUAUAAUUGAU